GGGUUGUGAGGUUAAGCGACUAAGCGUACACGGUGGAUGCCCUGGCAGUCAGAGGCGAUGAAGGACGUGCUAAUCUGCGAUAAGCGUCGGUAAGGUGAUAUGAACCGUUAUAACCGGCGAUUUCCGAAUGGGGAAACCCAGUGUGUUUCGACACACUAUCAUUAACUGAAUCCAUAGGUUAAUGAGGCGAACCGGGGGAACUGAAACAUCUAAGUACCCCGAGGAAAAGAAAUCAACCGAGAUUCCCCCAGUAGCGGCGAGCGAACGGGGAGCAGCCCAGAGCCUGAAUCAGUGUGUGUGUUAGUGGAAGCGUCUGGAAAGGCGCGCGAUACAGGGUGACAGCCCCGUACACAAAAAUGCACAUGCUGUGAGCUCGAUGAGUAGGGCGGGACACGUGGUAUCCUGUCUGAAUAUGGGGGGACCAUCCUCCAAGGCUAAAUACUCCUGACUGACCGAUAGUGAACCAGUACCGUGAGGGAAAGGCGAAAAGAACCCCGGCGAGGGGAGUGAAAAAGAACCUGAAACCGUGUACGUACAAGCAGUGGGAGCACGCUUAGGCGUGUGACUGCGUACCUUUUGUAUAAUGGGUCAGCGACUUAUAUUCUGUAGCAAGGUUAACCGAAUAGGGGAGCCGAAGGGAAACCGAGUCUUAACUGGGCGUUAAGUUGCAGGGUAUAGACCCGAAACCCGGUGAUCUAGCCAUGGGCAGGUUGAAGGUUGGGUAACACUAACUGGAGGACCGAACCGACUAAUGUUGAAAAAUUAGCGGAUGACUUGUGGCUGGGGGUGAAAGGCCAAUCAAACCGGGAGAUAGCUGGUUCUCCCCGAAAGCUAUUUAGGUAGCGCCUCGUGAAUUCAUCUCCGGGGGUAGAGCACUGUUUCGGCAAGGGGGUCAUCCCGACUUACCAACCCGAUGCAAACUGCGAAUACCGGAGAAUGUUAUCACGGGAGACACACGGCGGGUGCUAACGUCCGUCGUGAAGAGGGAAACAACCCAGACCGCCAGCUAAGGUCCCAAAGUCAUGGUUAAGUGGGAAACGAUGUGGGAAGGCCCAGACAGCCAGGAUGUUGGCUUAGAAGCAGCCAUCAUUUAAAGAAAGCGUAAUAGCUCACUGGUCGAGUCGGCCUGCGCGGAAGAUGUAACGGGGCUAAACCAUGCACCGAAGCUGCGGCAGCGACGCUUAUGCGUUGUUGGGUAGGGGAGCGUUCUGUAAGCCUGUGAAGGUGUGCUGUGAGGCAUGCUGGAGGUAUCAGAAGUGCGAAUGCUGACAUAAGUAACGAUAAAGCGGGUGAAAAGCCCGCUCGCCGGAAGACCAAGGGUUCCUGUCCAACGUUAAUCGGGGCAGGGUGAGUCGACCCCUAAGGCGAGGCCGAAAGGCGUAGUCGAUGGGAAACAGGUUAAUAUUCCUGUACUUGGUGUUACUGCGAAGGGGGGACGGAGAAGGCUAUGUUGGCCGGGCGACGGUUGUCCCGGUUUAAGCGUGUAGGCUGGUUUUCCAGGCAAAUCCGGAAAAUCAAGGCUGAGGCGUGAUGACGAGGCACUACGGUGCUGAAGCAACAAAUGCCCUGCUUCCAGGAAAAGCCUCUAAGCAUCAGGUAACAUCAAAUCGUACCCCAAACCGACACAGGUGGUCAGGUAGAGAAUACCAAGGCGCUUGAGAGAACUCGGGUGAAGGAACUAGGCAAAAUGGUGCCGUAACUUCGGGAGAAGGCACGCUGAUAUGUAGGUGAAGUCCCUUGCGGAUGGAGCUGAAAUCAGUCGAAGAUACCAGCUGGCUGCAACUGUUUAUUAAAAACACAGCACUGUGCAAACACGAAAGUGGACGUAUACGGUGUGACGCCUGCCCGGUGCCGGAAGGUUAAUUGAUGGGGUUAGCCGCAAGGCGAAGCUCUUGAUCGAAGCCCCGGUAAACGGCGGCCGUAACUAUAACGGUCCUAAGGUAGCGAAAUUCCUUGUCGGGUAAGUUCCGACCUGCACGAAUGGCGUAAUGAUGGCCAGGCUGUCUCCACCCGAGACUCAGUGAAAUUGAACUCGCUGUGAAGAUGCAGUGUACCCGCGGCAAGACGGAAAGACCCCGUGAACCUUUACUAUAGCUUGACACUGAACAUUGAGCCUUGAUGUGUAGGAUAGGUGGGAGGCUUUGAAGUGUGGACGCCAGUCUGCAUGGAGCCGACCUUGAAAUACCACCCUUUAAUGUUUGAUGUUCUAACGUUGACCCGUAAUCCGGGUUGCGGACAGUGUCUGGUGGGUAGUUUGACUGGGGCGGUCUCCUCCUAAAGAGUAACGGAGGAGCACGAAGGUUGGCUAAUCCUGGUCGGACAUCAGGAGGUUAGUGCAAUGGCAUAAGCCAGCUUGACUGCGAGCGUGACGGCGCGAGCAGGUGCGAAAGCAGGUCAUAGUGAUCCGGUGGUUCUGAAUGGAAGGGCCAUCGCUCAACGGAUAAAAGGUACUCCGGGGAUAACAGGCUGAUACCGCCCAAGAGUUCAUAUCGACGGCGGUGUUUGGCACCUCGAUGUCGGCUCAUCACAUCCUGGGGCUGAAGUAGGUCCCAAGGGUAUGGCUGUUCGCCAUUUAAAGUGGUACGCGAGCUGGGUUUAGAACGUCGUGAGACAGUUCGGUCCCUAUCUGCCGUGGGCGCUGGAGAACUGAGGGGGGCUGCUCCUAGUACGAGAGGACCGGAGUGGACGCAUCACUGGUGUUCGGGUUGUCAUGCCAAUGGCACUGCCCGGUAGCUAAAUGCGGAAGAGAUAAGUGCUGAAAGCAUCUAAGCACGAAACUUGCCCCGAGAUGAGUUCUCCCUGACCCUUUAAGGGUCCUGAAGGAACGUUGAAGACGACGACGUUGAUAGGCCGGGUGUGUAAGCGCAGCGAUGCGUUGAGCUAACCGGUACUAAUGAACCGUGAGGCUUAACCUUACAACGCCGAAGCUGUU
rnacentral:rRNA from 1 species